CUGCAGUGAUGAGCCUUAAGUGACUGAUCUGGUAUUGCUUUUUCCUUUCUUGGGGAGAGCUCUGACCAGGGAAUGAUCUCGACUUAAUCUUCUCUCUGAGCAG
ensembl:snoRNA